ensembl:lncRNA
UUGUUUUAAUUGCUAAGAGCGCAUCUGUGGGUUUAUGCAUAAAAAUGUAAAAAUAUAUAUACACAUAUGUAGGUACUAUACAUGGCUUUACACAUAAACAUUUAUUAUGCUCAUCUUAAGUAUAUGCGUAGCCAUAAUUUUAUACUAACAAAAAUAUUUUAAAAACCUUAUUUACAAAUGUAUUAGUCACUAUAUUAAAAAUGUAAUCAUGUUUCUCAUGUAUUUAUAUACAAAAAAAAAAACAAAAAAAAACAAAAAAAAUAGUUAGCAAAUUAUAACGUAAAAUCUUAGAUAUAUAUAUGGGUGUGCUUAUAUUUAUAUAAAAUGAGUUUUAUAUGUAAGGUGGAAGAGGAUGACCUAGAUUUAAAAAAAAAACUACAUAACAUUUUGAUUGUGUUUGGACUAAUCGCUGAAAAUAUACUUUUAGAUAACAACUGUUUGGAAUAUGUAAAUAUCAAUAAUAUACAUAAAACAUUGUUUUAUUUAUUCAAAUGUAGAUAUUUAGACAUAUUAAAUUCCCUUGAGUUGCAAACGGAAAAGGGCAUGGAAGACCCCAAUAAUGACAGACCAAUAGAGCCAAGUAAAAUCAGCAAGGUCACACAGAAUAUAACAACCGCCACAAAUGAAAUAAAAACAAAUGAUGAUAAAAUAAACGAAGCAAAUGCUUUUAAAAAAGAACUCGAGUUAAAAUUUAAUGAUAUGUUUUUUUGUAGUAAAAAAAAAAUUAAAAGAGCAAAUUUUAUAUCUAUCACGAACUUAAAUUUUAUUAAAUAUGCAUUAACAAGUUGUAUAUUUAUGCAUGGAAAAAUAUAUAAUAAACUAUCAUCUUUAAGAAAUAUUUUUAAUGGCAUUGAUUAUAAUUUAUUUAUAUUACACCAUCAUUUGAAUAAGCAAAAUAGUAUACUAUCAUUAAUAUACAACGAAGCAGCAACAGUAAAAAAGAGUCGUAGUUUAAAAAAAAAGGAAUCUAAUAAUAAUAAAAAUAGUCAUAAAAAUAGUCAUAAAAAUAGUCAUAAAAAUAGUCAUAAAAAUAGUCAUAAUGGUAAUAAUGAUAGUAUAAGUAAUGACCAAGAUAAUACCAAAAUUGUUUUUUGUGAAAAAAAUAAAUUAUUUCUUAUGGAGAAGUUUAGUUUAUGUGCGUCAUCGUUCACACUGUCAAAUAAUAUUUUUAAAUAUUCAUUAUUAUAUGAAUUAAUGUUUAUAACUAAAUCUCCAUUUAUAAUAAAUAAUUUUAUUUUAUCAGUUUUUAAUGAUACACUUUGUAUACCUGAUAUAGAAAAUAAAUAUAGCGAUGUUGUUAUUGUUAUAUCUUGCAUUUUAUUUGUAAAUCAUUUUUUUUAUCAUAUUAACCUUCACAGUAAAAUAAAAUCACCGUUUGUUUUGGUAUUUAAAAAAUUAUAUCUUAAUCAAGUAAAUAAAAUUAUGAAUAUUUUUAUUAACCUAUGUCCAUAUAAUCAUUUAUCUGAAUUGAAAAAUGUUAUUGCCCUUACAAAACAAAUUGUCAAUUUAUAUUCCGUUAUGUAGUCAUACUAAAAAAAAAAGUUCACUUUUUUUUUUUUAAACCAUCAUUUGAUUUUGUGCAUACAUGUACACAUAUGCAUAUUAUAUAUACAUGUGAUUUGUUUUCUUUUCAUCUUACAUUUUUAAUAUCAACGCAUAUAUAUAUUCAUGUGGAUAGCGAAAAUUGUUUCAUUUCAUUCGUUUUAUUUUUUAACUUUACAAACGAUGCUCUUUCUAAAUGUAUAAUAAAAUUUUAGACAUAACUACUACUACGAACUUU